rnacentral:rRNA from 1 species
AUAAUCGUAAUAUUAUAAUAGGUUCGCCGGGGAUAACAGGUUAUUGAAUUCCAAGAGACUCUUAUCUAAGGAUUCUGUUGGCACCUCCAUGUCGGCUCAUCAUUUGCAUCCA